GACGAACGCUGGCGGCGUGCCUAAUACAUGCAAGUCGAACGCAGGGGGGACGGGGGAGUAACACGUGGGUAACCUCCCAUCAGAGGGGAUAACACUUGGAAACAGGUGCUAAACCCAUACUGGUGGAUGGACCUGCGGUGGAUUAGCUAGUUGGUGGGGUAACGGCUCACCAAGGCCAAGAUGCAUAGCCGGCCUGAGAGGGUGAUCGGGCAAACUGGGACUGAGACACGGCCCAGACUCCUACGGGAGGCAGCAGUAGGGAAUCGUCGGCCAUGGACGAAAGUCUGACCGAGCAACUCCGCGUGAUUGAAGAAGGUUUUCGGAUCGUAAAACUCUGUUGUUAGAGAAGCGGUAUCUAACCAGAAAGCCACGGCUAACUACGUGCCAGCAGCCGCGGUAAUUC
rnacentral:rRNA from 1 species